rnacentral:rRNA from 1 species
GACGAACCACCCAAACGUUAUUCGGAAUUACUGGGCUUAAAGGGUGCGUAGGCUGUGCGGAAAGUUGGGUGUGAAAUACCUCAGCUUAACUGAGGAACUGCGCUCAAAACUACCGUGCUCGAGGGAGACAGAGGUAAGCGGAACUUAGGGUGGAGCGGUGAAAUGCGUUGAUAUCCUAAGGAACACCGGUGGCGAAAGCGGCUUACUGGGUCUCUUCUGACGCUGAGGCACGAAAGCUAGGGUAGCGAACGGG